rnacentral:rRNA from 1 species
ACUCCUAUUCCGAGGCAGCAGUGGGGAAUAUUGCACAAUGGGCGCAAGCCUGAUGCAGCGACGCCGCGUGAGGGAUGACGGCCUUCGGGUUGUAAACCUCUUUCAGUAGGGAAGAAGCGUAAGUGACGGUACCUGCAGAAGAAGCGCCGGCUAACUACGUGCCAGCAGCCGCGGUAAUACGUAGGGCGCAAGCGUUAUCCGGAAUUAUUGGGCGUAAAGAGCUCGUAGGCGGUUUGUCGCGUCUGCCGUGAAAGUCCGGGGCUCAACUCCGGAUCUGCGGUGGGUACGGGCAGACUAGAGUGAUGUAGGGGAGACUGGAAUUCCUGGUGUAGCGGUGAAAUGCGCAGAUAUCAGGAGGAACACCGAUGGCGAAGGCAGGUCUCUGGGCAUUAACUGACGCUGAGGAGCGAAAGCAUGGGGAGCGAACAGGAUUAGAUACCCUGGUAGUCCAUGCCGUAAACGUUGGGCACUAGGUGUGGGGGACAUUCCACGUUUUCCGCGCCGUAGCUAACGCAUUAAGUGCCCCGCCUGGGGAGUACGGCCGCAAGGCUAAAACUCAAAGGAAUUGACGGGGGCCCGCACAAGCGGCGGAGCAUGCGGAUUAAUUCGAUGCAACGCGAAGAACCUUACCAAGGCUUGACAUGAACCGGAAAGACCCUGAAACCAGGUCCCCCCA